rnacentral:rRNA from 1 species
AUCCCUUGACAUCCAGAGAAUCAUCGAGAGAUCGAGGAGUGCCUUCGGGAGCUCUGAGACAGGUGCUGCAUGGCUGUCGUCAGCUCGUGUUGUGAAAUGUUGGGUUAAGUCCCGCAACGAGCGCAACCCUUAUCCUUACUUGCCAUCGGGUCAUGCCGGGAACUUUAGGGAGACUGCCGGUGAUAAACCGGAGGAAGGUGGGGACGACGUCAAGUCAUCAUGGCCCUUACGGGAUGGGCUACACACGUGCUACAAUGGCAGAUACAAAGGGUUGCUAACCUGCGAGGGUAUGCGAAUCUCAGAAAGUCUGUCGUAGUCCGGAUCGGAGUCUGCAACUCGACUCCGUGAAGUUGGAAUCGCUAGUAAUCGUGGAUCAGAAUGCCACGGUGAAUACGUUCCCGGGCCU